rnacentral:lncRNA from 1 species
GAGGCCCACGCAACAAAACAAGCAAGCAUGCUUCUUUGAUCUAGGCCAAGUAUCAGUAUUUUUCUGGAGAACGUUCUUGGAUCGAACAACUUUUUCUGCACAUUCUUUGAUGAUCCAAUCUAGUUGUCUCUAGUUGUUGGUAGUGAUUCAAAAAAAGCUUCUACCGUGCUUGUUCGUGGAGAACAAGUUUAUACAGCUCAUGGCUACUCAUACUCACGCUCCUUAAUGACGUCAUCAUUCUGAGAACGUUCUUAGAAGCAUCAUUCUCUCUCAUUAAACAUUAUUUGAUUUGAUUUUUUAAAGAACAAACAGCUAGUUUCUUUCUCCACAUCAGCUCUACUUGGAGGCCACGAAACUCAGAGCAAACUACAUCUAUAAAUAGCACACCUGGGUGCUUUGAAGAUUCAAGAGUUUCACUACAACUAUCAAGAUUUACAGUUGUCUUUUUCGAACACGUUAUCAAGCUCUUCCACUCUCACUCCCAGCUCUCUAAAUCAUACACUUGGAUCUGUACACUACUGAGUGAACUGAGUGUUUUCGUUCUAAG